rnacentral:rRNA from 1 species
UACGUAGGGACCGAGCGUUGUCCGGAAUCAUUGGGCGUAAAGAGCGUGUAGGCGGCCGUACAGGUCAGCUGUGAAAACUCGAGGCUCAACCUCGAGACGUCGGUUGAAACCGUACGGCUAGAGUCCGGAAGAGGAGAGUGGAAUUCCCGGUGUAGCGGUGAAAUGCGCAGAUAUCGGGAAGAACACCCGUGGCGAAGGCGGCUCUCUGGGACGGUACUGACGCUGAGACGCGAAAGCGUGGGGAGCGAACAGG